ensembl:lncRNA
AAAUGACUAAGGAUCGAGUGGUUGCUGAAUGCAAGGCUAUAGUGGUCAGUUAGAGGUGUCAGAUGAGUCUGUGGCUCUGACAUCCAAUGUCAAGGUGAGUAGCAGGUUUUGGUGCUGGUGCCAGAAACUGGAUCAGACCAGCACUAAGCAGAGUUAGGGUGCAUAAGGAGGAUAACUGACACCAUCUUAAAAUGCUUAUAGAGAUCAGCAUGUAUUGAUUCUCAGUUCUGCUUCGCCAUCGGAAUGUACCGUAUGCAAUGACGUGGAGACAAUACAGGUUGGGAACAGGAACAGGAGAGAGGUGAAAACCUUUUCCAAUUGCAUCCAGGGGUGUCAUGCACUCCAAAAAUCUGAGGCAGCACAAAGUACGUGAGGAUGGCUGAGGGGUCGUCUGGAGGGGAGGUGAUCGUGGACUUCUCCUCAAGAAGAUGUGAUGAGCAGAGCAACCAAUCAGCGUCACUGCAGCUGUUCAACCCUCCACCCCCACCACUCUCCCUCCACAAGCAACCACAUCCUCUUCUCCUGUUCAACUAAUUUGCCGCUGCACAGAAAAGGACUGUACAUACCCCUGUGCCCAUCAGUGCAAAAUGAUCCAGCCAAAGCCUCAGCUGGACGCCGAAAAUGUGAAAAAUGUCAGUGUGUGUGUGUGUGUGUCUGUGUGUGUGUGUGUGUGUGUGUGUGUGUGUGUGUGUGUGUGUGUGUGUGUGUGUGUGUGUGUGUGUGUGUGUGUGUGUUCCAAGAAAAGACAUGAGUGUGAUGUGCCCCUCUGUGUCAAUGUUGAAAUGCGAUAAAUGAAGGAUGGCAAAGGAGAUAGUGAUGUGAUAGUGUGUUUGUAUGACUCCUUGGGAUCUAAAAUGAGUGUGGGGUGCCCUCUUGUGUCUCCUUUUUGUUCCUUUGAAGGCAUUACACUCAUCCCUGGUGGAGGUUCUUGGAACACUGUUAUUUAAGUCUGAGCAGAGGUUGAUGAAAACCUUCAAAGUUGGUGGUGCUAUAUUGCGUGUUAUCUUGAACACCAGGCAGAUGUUUGAGUACAGAAUGAAAAUGGUGUAAACUGAACAGGUUGAACUUGUUGAGUACACUCUUAGAAAAAGGGGUUCCAACUGGCUGUCACCAAAGGAGAACCCUUUUUGGUUAUUAGGUAUAACUCUUUUUAGUUACAGUAAGAACUCUUUGGGGUUCCAUGUAGAACCCUCUGUGGAAUGGAACCCAAAAUGAUUCUACCUAGGCACCGAAUGGGUUCUACCUGGAUCCAAAAAGAGUUCUUCAAAGGGUUCUAUAGGGACAGCGGAAGAAACCUUUUAGGUUCUAGAUAGGUCUAUAUUGCAGUGGUGGUUCCGUUGUUUUCUUAAAGAAUAUAUAUAUAUUAAUUGGUGGUGGUGAGUUAAGAUAAUCAGAAAUACUGUGAAACAUCCCCACUUUUAGCACACAUUUGCAAGCAGGCAAAGUCGCCUACUUCUAUGCGUGCUGAGGUAUGUGUGAUCACUCAACAUUGACAGGACUGACAAAAAUGCUCACAUGCAAACAAAAGACAAAGAAAUGACCAAACAAUGAAGUAAUUGGCAAAAGAAAUGUAAAUGUUAUGAAAUAAAGCAAAACCUGUGGAUCAAGU